UACGUAGGGGGCGAGCGUUGUCCGGAAUCAUUGGGCGUAAAGCGCGUGUAGGCGGCCCGGUAAGUCCGCUGUGAAAGUCCAGGGCUCAACCCUGGGAUGCCGGUGGAUACUGUCGGGCUCGAGUCCGGAAGAGGCGAGUGGAAUUCCUGGUGUAGCGGUGAAAUGCGCAGAUAUCAGGAAGAACACCCGUGGCGAAAGCGGCGCACUGGACCAUAACUGACGCUGAUGCGCGAAAGCUAGGGGAGCAAACAGG
rnacentral:rRNA from 1 species